AUACGUAGGUGGCGAGCGUUGUUCGGAUUUACUGGGCAUAAAGGGCGUGUAGGCGGCUUGGUAAGCGGAGUGUGAAAUCCCGGGGCUCAACCCCGGAACUGCAUUCCGAACUGCCGAGCUAGAGGACAGGAGGGGGAUCUGGAACUCUAGGUGGAGCGGUGAAAUGCGUAGAUAUCUAGAGGAACGCCGGUGGCGAAAGCGAGAUCCUGGCCUGUCCCUGACGCUGAGGCGCGAAAGCGUGGGUAGCAAACAGGAUUAGAAACCCCAGUAGUCC
rnacentral:rRNA from 1 species